CCGCCUGGGGAGUACGGUCGCAAGAUUAAAACUCAAAUGAAUUGACGGGGGCCCGCACAAGCGGUGGAGCAUGUGGUUUAAUUCGAUGCAACGCGAAGAACCUUACCUACUCUUGACAUCCAGAGAAGCUUGAAGAGAUUCGAGUGUGCCUUCGGGAACUCUGAGACAGGUGCUGCAUGGCUGUCGUCAGCUCGUGUUGUGAAAUGUUGGGUUAAGUCCCGCAACGAGCGCAACCCUUAUCCUUGUUUGCCAGCACUUCGGGUGGGAACUCCAGGGAGACUGCCGGUGAUAAACCGGAGGAAGGUGGGGACGACGUCAAGUCAUCAUGGCCCUUACGAGUAGGGCUACACACGUGCUACAAUGGCAUAUACAGAGGGCAGCAAGACCGCGAGGUGGAGCGAAUCCCAGAAAGUAUGUCGUAGUCCGGAUCGGAGUCUGCAACUCGACUCCGUGAAGUCGGAAUCGCUAGUAAUCGUGGAUCAGAAUGCCACGGUGAAUACGUUCCCGGGCCUUGUACACACCGCCCGUCACACCAUGGGAGUGGGCUGCACCAGAAGUAGAUAGCUUAACCUUCGGGAGGGCGUUUACCACGGUGUGGUUCAUGACUGGGGUGAAGUCGUAACAAGGUAGCCCUAGGGGAACCUGGGGCUGGAUCACCUCCUUACAAAAAAG
rnacentral:rRNA from 1 species